rnacentral:tRNA from 1 species
GCGCCCGUAGCUCAGCGAAUAGAGCGCCUGGCUUCGAACCAGGGGGUCGGGGGUUAAAAUCCCUCCGGGCGUU